rnacentral:lncRNA from 1 species
CCUAGUUUUGCAGCAGCUGAAAAUCUAAGUGAUUUCUGUAAUAAUAAUAAUAAUGUGAUAAUCUGUAUUUCAAAGGGAUCAAAGGGUUCUCUUCCCUCACUCCCCGGGGGUUGCUUUCACUUAGGAGAAGCUAGUCUUUCUGAGUGCUCUAGUGCCUCUGUAUCUUUGUUUAAGGCAUUAUCUGCUACAAAUGUAUGGAAAGGAGUGGAAGAAAGGGAAGACAUGGACAUGAAGGUGAGAGCUCUUUGGGAGCAGGGAAGAGUUGCAGUUGGUCUCAUCCAGACCCAGCUUUGGUCACACCCAGCUUCUCUGGACAGAAUUAUCUUCUGCCUUGUGCUCUGCCCAGCUGCUACUUCUAAAUAAAGUUUGUAUGAUUGUUACUGAAACUACUGCAAACUGUUUUUCCUUGCAAGGAGAUUUUUGUCUUGGAAUUCUUUAAAAUCUUUCAAAAACCUCUGUUGGUGACUGAACUAAACUAUUGCUUUCAUUUGAUUAAUUUUACUAUAUAGCAGAAUUGCUAUUUUUUCAAUGUUUGCUCUCAUAAAUAAUGAUUUUAAUCAUUCCGUAUUUUCUUUGGGAGUUUUUUUUUUGUUUGUUUGUUUGUUUCAAAUCUUAAAUGUAUGUAUUAGUUGACUGAGGAGGAACUACAAAUUCUAUUAGUUUGCUCCCAAGAGUGUAGCAGGAUAUUUUCACAGGAAUCCCUCGGUGCAGAAUUUUUAGCAAGACAGGAAAAGAAGGGAGAGUAGGGCAGGAAGGAGUCAUCUGACUAUCCCCUACCUUUGAUAGGUGGAGAAAGAGCUCUGGAAUGACAGUCCCUGAGGUAGCUUUUUGAGAAGAGCUUUAGCUCAUCUUUUCCUUUUUAAGUAGCCCAGAGACAGCAAAUUUAAGAUUACUUUGGGUUUUUUGCAGCUCCCUGAGUUUUCUUAUUUCCUUCCAGUAUCUCCAACUUUCCUUUUUCAUCUUGCUCCUCCUGGAGCAUGCUGGAGAUGGCAUAGCAGGGUGGAGAUGUGCUGGGAGUGUUUCUGGAUGUGGCCGUGUUGGCUGACACGCAGCGUGUGCUGGGCCAGGCUCGCCCUGCUUCGUGCGCUCCCUGGACAGCACAGGGGGGCUCCAGCUCUGCUGAUCCCUGCACUGAGCCCUGGUGAGCUGGCAAACACCCCUGCUCAGGGUGUAAAACACUGACCCAGAGCUGCUCUGGGUUAAUGCCCACGGGCACGGUGUCCGCCGUCAUCUCCCAGCGAGUGCGGAACCCUCGAGCUUUGCUCACUGCUUGCUCCCUAAUAUUGUGCUUUCAUUUCCUGCUCUUGCACAGCUUACAAGAUCAAUUAAAAUUGGCUGACAUCUGGAGCCUUUAAAAGAAAAAAAAAAUAAAUAAAAAAAUUAGUGGUAUUCCUGAACUCCU